AAAGGGGUGGGCGGCUGAAAUUGAUGCACAUCCAAUGCUCCUAAGCCCUCAUGCCACCCCUCCUUUUAUAAGCAUCUCAUGCCUAUCUAAGCAAAGAAUAAUUUCAAUAAAAAAUCACUCCUUGAUUCAUCCCUCUAAAUUCUACCACACCCCUUACUUAAUUAUUACACACCCCUUUCUUAAUUCUUCCAUACCCCUUUCUUAAUUCUUCCACACCCCUUACUUAAAAGAAAUUGGAGAGAAUCAAGGGCUCUCCUUGCGCCGUGUGGCAAUCCAGGGGAAAGUAGAGAAAGAGGAGGGGUGAAUGCCCCUCCUUUGUGGCAUGUGGAGUCAAACA
rnacentral:lncRNA from 1 species